GCAAUUAUGCAGAUGGCGGAAAGAAAGAUGAUGAAAUGUCGUUGAGGACGCAAGCCCACAUAAUAAGGGAGCGUAUUCGGAAGACAAUAGCAGUCUGAAGUGUUUACUCUGUGGCGGGAGCCAGCCGCUCAGCCCGCACUUAGAAGGCAUUAUCUGAGUUGUGAAAAAUUACCCUCAGAAAUCAUGGAAAUUAAUGGAGAAGUUAAACAUUGAUUAAAAACAAGAUUAGAGAUUACAGGAGAAAGGUCGAGGCUGCCGGGGCAAAGAAAGCUGCAUCAGCUUCUUUUCUGCACCACCCACUGAGCGGGUCGUGUUUGAUUUGGAACCUCGAGGUCCAGAUGUAAGUGGAGCUUCCGGACACCCCGUCCUCUUUGGGGACCUCAAGUCUGCACUGGAGGGAAACAGCCGGUGGUGUCAGCCAUUCUGGCAAAAAGCCGAUGAUGUAACCGGUGAACGACGAGGACCCCUGACCCCUCUGUGACGUGCGGACCCAGGGAAGCGAAGCCAGCUUUUGUUUGUGUCCAGGUAACUGGUUGGCUUCAACAGUGGGCAGCAUUCAAAACGGAACCCAGCCCCUCUCAGCACCCGGUUUGCGAGGCGUGGACUCCAUUGCGCAGGUGAAUGAGGCACCUUGCUGUGGACAGCAGUUUUGCCUCCCAUCCUCUUUGCCAGAAACGUCAAGCAAACAGGAAAGCACUGAAAUAGACAAAGGAGGGGCUGCUGUGUUUCUUGGCAGGGAGCUGGAAAUGAGGGAGGUUGCUGGAAUAUGCACAGAACCACUUUGGGGGUGCAGGGAAGGGAGCCAGUCACGCAUAUCCACAAGAAAAUCAAUUAGACCACAGGAGGAGGACAGGAAUUUUUACCAGGAAGAAGAUUAAAAAUUUUGAAAUAAAUUUUUUCUCUAAAAGGUUAACUUCAAACCUUUCUAUGGGCUGUAAUACAUACCACCUUCUGGGCCAAAUGUUCCAUAUGGAUAAAUGCGUGCUUUCCUGUGACAAAGCAAGGAAGUACUAAGCAUCAGAAAUGUCUCAUACAAAUGUUAAGAAGAAAAAAUAAAAUGUUCCUUUGCCCAGCAACUCUCAUUGAGUCAGUUGCGUUCAUUCCUGUAGCCAGCACCCCAAUUUCAAACUGAAUGAAACCUCUGGCAUUUGUCCUGAUGCCUAGAAUUUUGAGGUAUGACAGCGUUGAUACUCUUGUACCCCACAGUUCCAGGAAGUCAGGUGAUGACAUAAUAUAAAUUCCAAAAUGAGAAUAAGUUGUGAAAAAUAUUUGUGUUUCAGAUCACGUGCAUUAGUAUUCAGAGAGAAAAGAGCAAAAAUGGCUCUUCCCAGAGCUCCCCCAGAACGUGACUGACUGUAAAUUUAUGCCUCGCACUUAGGAGAGUGAAAUGUAUCAGUCAGCAGCGGAAAAUAGAAGGGCCCUAGGGACUUAAAGCACAAAAGGGUUUAAUAGUAUGUGAGUUUCGUGCUUACAAAAUCAUCAGAAAGGUUGGGGGCCCUCUAAGGUGUUGGUCUGACUCCCUUGCCAUCAGAGAGCUGGGGAAUCGAGAAGCUGUCCAGGAACGAUUGCUUUCCGCUUCAGUGAGGUCAGGGAUCAGAAAGCCUCGUGGUCUCAGCUGUUCCCGCAGAAACCCAUCUCUUGUCCUGCAUCUGCACUGGCAAAACUGCGUGUCCUUUCAUGUCUCCCAACUCCAGGGGGCUGUGCUGCUUGCAGACAGUCUCACUUUCGUCCCCAGGUCGGCCUGCAGAAAGAGCAAAAACAUGCAAAUCAUAUCCAGACCCCAACUGUGAGAGUCUGGAAAUGAGCUCUCUUACUUCCUUUUUUUUUUUUUUAAGUUUAUUUAUUUAUUUAUCUAGCAGACAGAUAUACAAGUAGGCAGAAAGGCAGGUGGUGGGGGGAUGGGGAGCAGGCUCCCUGCUGAGCAGAGAGCCCAAUGCAGGACGUGAUCCGAGGACCCUGAGAUCAUGACCUGAGCCGAAGGCAGAGGCUUAACCCACUGAGCCACCCAGGUGUCCCAGAAGCUCUCUUACUUCUGAGGUGGGUGCCAGAAGGCACCCUGAGGGGAGCUGGAAAUGAUGGCAGCAAACCAUCCUGGCAUCACAGGUGGAGUGAAUCAGGACUGGGCCUAGAAGCCAAAGAGCCGAAUGGGAUCACUGACUCUCCCCUUGCCAGUAGCGAUGUGAUGGCCAUGAAAGCUCUUGGUUCCCUCAUGUGCAAAACAAGGAAGUUG
ensembl:lincRNA